UGGAGGUGACUUCACAGGUGGGGGAGGAGAGUGGUAGUAGUAUGGAGGUGGUGGGGAUGGUGAUGGAGGUGGUGGGGAUUUGUAGUAGUACGGUGGUGGAGGCGAGUAGACUGGUGGGGGAGGAGAGUGGUAAUAGUACGGAGGUUGAGGAGAUGGUGACGGAGGUGGUGGGGACUUGUAAUAGUAUGGUGGUGGAGGUGAGUGGACAGGUGGGGGAGGAGAGUGGUAAUAAUAUGGCGGUGGAGGAGAUGGCGACGGAGGUGGUGGGGAUUUGUAGUAGUAGGGCGGGGGAGGAGAGUGGACUGGUGGUGGUGGGGAUUUGUAGUAGUAUGGAGGUGGAGGUGGAGGUGAGUAGACUGGUGGUGGUGGGGAUUUGUAGUAGUAUGGAGGUGGAGGUGAGUGGACUGGUGGUGGCGGGGAUUUGUAGUAGUAGGGUGGAGGAGGAGAGUGGACUGGAGGUGGCGGGGAUUUGUAGUAGUAUGGUGGUGGAGGCGAGUAGACUGGAGGGGGUGGUGACUUGUAGUAGUAAGGUGGCGGAGGUGAGUAAACGGGAGGAGGGGGUGACUUGUAGUAGUAAGGUGGUGGAGGUGAGUAGACUGGUGGUGGAGGUGAUUUGUAAUAGUAUGGGGCAGGUAUGUGGACUGGCGGUGGUGGUGACUUGUAAUAGUAGGGAGGUGGAGGGGAUGGUGAAGGUGGUGGUGGAGACUUGUAGUAGUAUGGCGGUGGGGGUGAAUAGACUGGUGGUGGAGGUGAUUUAUAAUAGUAUGGAGGUGGAGGAGAUGGCGAUGGAGGUGGCGGAGAUUUAUAGUAGUAAGGUGGUGGAGGAGAGUGGACUGGUGGUGGAGGUGAUUUGUAAUAGUAUGGCGGUGGAGGAGAGUAGACUGGUGGUGGAGGUGAUUUAUAGUAGUAUGGCGGUGGUGGUGAGUGGACAGGUGGUGGAGGUGACUUGUAGUAAUACGGUGGAGGAGAAGAAUAGACCGGUGGUGGUGGAGAUUUAUAAUAGUAAGGUGGUGUCGGAUACUUUAUUGGAGGUGGAGGGGAUUUGUAAUAAUAGGGUGGUGGUGGUGAGGGUGAAGGAGGUGGUGGAGAUUUAUAGUAAUAUGGUGGUGGAGGUGAGUGGACUGGAGGUGGUGGAGAUUUGUAGUAGUAUGGUGGAGGUGAGUAGACAGGUGGGGGAGGAGACUUGUAAUAAUAUGGUGGUGGAGGUGAGUAGACCGGUGGUGGUGGGGAUUUAUAGUAGUAUGGUGGUGGUGAAUAAACCGGUGGUGGAGGAGACUUGUAGUAGUACGGUGGGGGAUGUGAAUAGACUGGUGGAGGUGGAGACUUAUAAUAGUAUGGGGGAGGAGAGUAAGUUGGUGGCGGUGGAGACUUAUAGUAAUAUGGUGAUGGAGAUGGUGGUGGCGGAGACUUAUAGUAAUAAGGCGACGGUGGGUAUUUUACAGGAGGUGGGGGAGAUUUAUAAUAAUAAGGUGGUGGGUAUUUCACAGGAGGUGGUGGAGACUUGUAAUAAUAUGGUGGAGGUGGAGGAGACUUAUAAAUGUAAG
rnacentral:lncRNA from 1 species